UGUCAGCUUGCCCGGGUAUUUGACUGACAUUUCCUGUACAGAACGGGAGGACAAAGUUUAGGUAUAAAAAUUGCUUGACCAAAUUCAAAUCUAAUAAAUACCGCGUGGCUCUAUUCCUGAAUCUAUUUGUAUGACCUGUGGAUAGCACUGCUGAGAGACUAAAGCUAAAAUGAGUUACAGAUUUAACAGCAGUACAGUGAAGGAGGAUGGUAAAGAGGUUACUCUAAAAUGCCGACUUGACGGAUUCAAGCCUUCAAGUGGUCACUCAGCUUCCGCUCAAGUUACUGACAAUACUUUAAUUGUGCAAGCAAAUAAGGACGGCAACACGUAUGAAAUGAAAAUCCGGGAUAUUGAUGUGAGCGAUGAUGCUGUAAGCACAAAGCCUGCAAAAGAUGA